UUCCACUACCUCAUCAAGUAGUGUGGCCGGCCAUGUGAUGUGUGGAAGGUUUGCCAGGACGUGUUGAUGCCUGGGGCACGGACUGUCCACAUCCAAGGCAUCAAUGGAGGGCACGCCUGACGUUGUCAUCCAAGAUGGUUUCAAUACUUUGAUAUAUUUAUUACAAUGACUAGAUGACGACAUGAGACUAGAGACUACCUUAUUCACUCGGUAGCUCAUCCUGGGCCAACUAUUGAUCUUCUGAUUGUCGUCUGCUACGUUUGCCCGUGUGCGUCACAUGUUGCCCGGACAUGGCCUGGAGCAGACGAUAGAGACAACUGCCUUCCGUGAAACUCAGAACAUACAGAAACAGAACAUGAGGUGGAUUACUUCGUUGGAAACAUUUUUGAUCGUCUCACUGAUGAUGACAGUGACUUGCUCCGCCGAAAGUAAAGGUGUUUUUUGCAAGGGAGAUGGUCCAGGUGCGAUCCCCGACCCAAUACCGGACGCCAAGCAACAAGCCACGUUCCAGUGCGCACUGGCGUGUCUGAAAUCCGGUUCCGCUUCAUGUGCUUCCGCUGGAUUUGCCAUGAAGUGGGACGGUCCGACAUGCGAGGCGAAGGGAGCGGGCGGCGCGAGCAGAACGGACUACACCUGUACCAGCUUAUAAGCUGGUGUGACGAUGCCGUUAUAAGCUGGUGUGACGAUGCCGUUAAACUUGGAUGAUAGUUAUUGCUAUCUACACACAUUUUCUGUUCACUCUUAUGAGACUAUUGUCGAAUUUUGACAACAUUAACGUUUUCUUUGAAAUGAUUUAAACUAUUUCAAGAUUAUACUGCAAACUGCACUUCAACUUUCAUUGAGCUAUUUUGUUAGCGAUGAAACUCAAGGGUGGAUCCAGCAUUCUUAUCAAAAUCCUCUCUGUACUACAUUUGGUGUUCCAUAAGUGGUAGGAUGUGGCUCUUGUUCCGCCUAUGAUACUGUUCUGAAAAAACAACAACAUAGUUAUGACAUUUAUUUUACAAUAAUGAUUUCUAAGAAUCUACUGGUGAAACUGCAGUCCUUAUUUUUGUUGUGUUGACUUUAUUACAUUGAUGUAUUGUGUGUCAUGUUGUCCACGUUGUGUCGAGGCCACGACACGAUUCUGUGUUAACCCUUUCUAUCCCCGUGUACAGCGAAUUGUUGAUCAGCACAGGUGGAAAAGGACGGUAUAUUGAUUAAAACAAUAUUCAGUAACAAUCAAAAUGAUAUCGGAAUGGAGUUUACUUUUUCAAAGAUUGCAUUUCAUCUGCAAAUCUUUUUUUUUUUAAACCGACAUACAAUCAAUAUGUCGAUAAAUCUGUGAAUGUUAUAAGAUUAACAAUUUCUUCAGAUGUUUUUUAAAUACAUUUUCGGUAAUUGUUAUGGUUAGGGUUACUGGUGAAAAGCAAGCCAAACAAGAUAUGCUAUUGUCCCGAAAACAUAUUAAAUGUGUUUUAGGUUCGGGACAGUCGUCAGCUGUAGUCAGGCAUUCCAAUCCCUCUUGUCCCACUCGGUGUCUAGGAUGUAUACAGUAGCAGCCCUGAGUACCCUAAUUAUUCCACCCUCAUGACACUACCCUAGCUAUACCACCCUAGUGACACUACCCUAAUUACACCACCCUGAUUAUACCACCCUAAUGACAGUACCCUAAUUACACCACCCUGAUUAUACCACCCUAAUGACAGUAUCCUAAUGACGCUACCCUAAUUACACCACCCUAAUGACACUACCCUAAUGACGCUACCCUAAUGACGCUACCCUUAUGACGCUACCCUAAUUAUACCACCCUAAUGACAGUACCCUAAUGACGCUACCCUAAUUACACCACCCUAAUGACACUACCCUAAUGACGCUACCCUAAUGACACUACCCUAAUGACGCUACCCUAAUGACGCUACCUUAAUGACGCUACCCUAAUUAUACCACCCUAAUGACACUACCCUAAUGACGCUACCCUAAUGACACUACCCUAAUGACGCUACCCUGAGGACGCUACCCUAAUGACACUACCCUAAUCACACAACCCUAAUGACGCUACCCUAAUGACGCUACCCUUAUGACGCUACCCUAAUUAUACCACCCUAAUGAUAGUACCCUAAUGACGCUACCCUAAUGACACCGCCCUAAUGACACUACCCUAAUUACGCUACCCUAAUGACGCUACCCUAAUUGUACCACCCUAAUGACACUACCCUAAUUACAACACAACCCUAUUUUUUAUUUCACACAUUGCUCUAAUUCCAACGUCUAGGCAGACGCUGGGGCGGUGGGGUAGUCUAAAAGCGUUAGUUCGUCACGCUGCAGGCCCGGGUUCUAUUCGUUACAUGGGUACAAUGCCCUAAGGUCAUUUCUGGGGACUUCCGCCGCAGGAAUAUUGCUAAAAUAACAUAAAAUCAUACUAACUCACUCACUCACUCAUACUCUUUGGCAACGGACCAUAGAGCGGCGGUGUUAUUUAUACCAACAUGUUAUCUUAAUAACUCAUGUGUUUAAACUUACAUCUUUAGACUUGACUGUGGUGUUCAUAACGUCAUGUACACACUUACCAAACGAUGUAAAAAUCCGUCCAGCCUGUUCUUGUGCAUGUUAUCUUUCAAAUAAAUCUGUAAAUGUUU